CCUACGGGAGGCAGCAGUAGGGAAUUUUCGGCAAUGGGGGGAACCCUGACCGAGCAACGCCGCGUGAACGAAGAAGUUAUUCGUAAUGUAAAGUUCUUUUAACAGGGAAGAAAGAGAAAUUUGACGGUCCCUAAAGAAUAAGCUCCGGCUAACUACGUGCCAGCAGCCGCGGUAAUACGUAGGGCGCCAGGGUUAUCGGGAAUUAUUGGGCGAAAGGGGUGCGUAGAUGGCAUAGUAAGUCUUUUGUAAAAAUGCUGGGCUCAACCCAGUAGGGCAAAAGAUACUGCAAAGCUAGAGUAUGACAGAGGCAAGUGGAACUACAUGUGUAGCGGUAAAAUGCGUAAAUAUAUGGAAGAAAACCAGUGGCGAAGGCGGCUUGCUGGGUCGAUACUGACAUUGAGGCACGAAAGCGUGGGGAGCAAACAGGAUUAGAUACCCCUGUAGUC
rnacentral:rRNA from 1 species